UCCUUAUCUCUACAUCUUAUCUUCUUGAACUACCCACCACCACACGUAUUCUUUUGUUCUCUCUCCUCCAUGUAACUUUGUCUCAUGGUCUUACUAGUUAAGAGAAGACCAUUUUCAUUCGGGUUCAGGCGCCCGGCCGACCACGUUCAGACCAACUCGGGAGGAUUUGGUGACCUGGGCACCUGCGGCGUGGUGCUCGGCCUUGUACAUCGGGCGGUGGCCUGCAUCCCUACCGAAGAAAGCCGAAUCUCUCGACCUGCUACUUCUUGAUAGUUCGACCUGCUUUUUCUUCAGAGUCCGACCUGCUACUUCGUCAUGCAGGAUGGAGCACGACAUGGUUGGCUUGAUGGGAAACCUUGUUGAGGAAAUAGUUGUCCUCGAAUGCAGCCAAUAUGAUAGAAUGGCCUCGAUGCAGAUGGACCGACGGGGAACGCAAUGAGAAAAGGAACAACAGGGAGAGAUGGCUGCCCGCUAGGACUUCUUGCCAGCGAGGCGUUGGACUGCCCGCACAGAAUGGUGGGGCAGAAGCUUGUGGAUGGUGCAGAUGGCACAGCGACGACUUCUGCUUGGGGGCGCGAUGGUGGUCAGUCGGUGACCCCGAGAGCACCGACACCCUUUAAUUGCAACGGUGACACUUCUCAAGAUCGUGCGAGGGCCGUCCAUGGCGCAUGCUGGUGGUGCAGGGCGCGUCGACGGUGGAGAUGGCCCCGGAGGCAUCCAAUCCAGAUGACCGGCAGCGGCGGCGGCCUGUGAUAUCUCUGGUUAGUAGAACACAGGCUUCGAGGGGCGUGAUGCUCGCUGGCUGGGGCGCCGCGCGCUGAUGGUGGUGCCGCUACGGGUGGGGCCGCGCGUGGCCGCGGGAGUAGGCGGGAUCCGGCAAGGGGGCGGCGCUGGGGUGGGGGAACAGGGGAAGAGGCCAUGGCGGAGCGG
rnacentral:rRNA from 1 species